CUGGAAAGGUUCAGAGGCUUAGGAAGGAGUGUCCUAAUGCUGAGUGUGGUGCUGGAACUUUCAUGGCUAACCACUUUGAUCGUCAUUACUGCGGAAAGUGUGGAACCACCUAUGUGUACCAGAAAGCUGAUGCUUGAUUAGGUUUUCAAAAUUAUGCAUUUUUAGCGUUUAAAUUUCGAAGUUAUUGUAUUUUUUGGUUUUGGAAUAUUUGGUGUUAGACAAUUUUUCAAUUAUAUUUUUGUCUGUCUGAAUAUUUCGUGUUUUAAAUGCUGGUUUUGGUGCUUUUUUUAACCUAAUUAAGUGCUGGUUUAUUUGUGAUAUGUUUAAGUUAAAUAAGUUACUUAUUUGUUAGAUAUCAGCUGGAGUUAACAUCUUUUGUUUAUGUGGAUUUGCUUUUGCGUUUUCAAUGUUUUAGGUUUUGCUAUGUUUUUUAGCAUGUGUACUUAUCAUGUUGCAUACGAUAUUAUAAGGUGUUUGAUAUGUAAGUGUAUGGGUGAGAUGUUCUACUACGAUUUAAAAUCAAUUUAGUUAUACUCUUGAGAACGUGGUGAAUUUAGUUAUACUUUUGUGUCCAUUUUGGAUAUUUGAGUUAUGAAAUUAUUUUAUAUUUAGCUUGAUUGCUUAAGAAAUGGUUUUCCCUUUAGUCCCUAAACACAGACUUGGAUGGAUUGUUGUAACCAUACAUAACCAUAUCGGUGUGUCAUGUUGGGUCAAAACUUGUUUUAAAGCUCUUUUGUUAUUGAUUGUGAUCUACAAUAGUCUUAUUUGUAAUUCACCUGAGGUAUGAUGUGAGUGUGUCAUUCAAUUAAUUAGCCUAAGUCAAAUUAAUAUGGCUCCAAAACCCCUCUUUGCAUUCACUGAUGUGCAUACAAUCUUGGGCUACAGAUUCAUAUUGAAUGUUGGCGUGAAAACUCGAUGACAUGUCCGCGUGAAUCCACUUGUUAUUGAAUAUAAUGGACAUGCAGUAAUGAAAGUUUUGAUCUGCCUUAAUGAUAAUGUGGCAUUCUGUUGAUUUUUCUAAGUAAUGCAAGGUUUAUGCCUAUAGUAAUGGAAGAUGGUACUUCUGGAAGGUUAGAUAGUUUUACGGGUGAAAGAGUUUGAGGUAUGAAGGUAGUCAAGGGAAAUUGGUGCAGCGUGGUUUGAUGGAGAUAAGGUUAUUUUGGGAAGUGCAUUAGUAAUGAGUUUUGGCAACUCAAUAUAGGGUUUGCGAGAUUUUCCACAAUUAUCUGUUUCUUUUGUUCCUUGUAUUUUACUUUACAGAUAGUUAUUCUAGAAUCAUGGUUUUGUCACUGGCAAAGAUUAUGUUGAGGUUGAGAACGGUAGGGAGUAGCUGUCAUAAAAAAUGUAUGGGAAAAACUAAUAUACAUGUAGCGCAGGAUAAAAAAAGAACACCAGUAUUUAUUUAAUUAUAAUAAAACAACUUAGACUAUAGCGAAUGAUAUGAACAAGGAAUAUUUAAAUAAGAGAUUAAAAAAGACUGCUUUGUAACGCUAGGCAUUGUAUUUGAAGAGAAAAUGUGCCUACUGCGCGGAGUGUAGUCACGUGUUGCAAUCCUUUUAUAAAUGCAUGUGUGGCUAAAGAUAAGAUAGGAAAUGUGGACCAUCAAUUCGUAAUACGAGUUAUGACUUAUGACUACUGAGUUGCAGAUACAAUACAAUUAUAACGCUCAUAUAACCUCUUAAUAUUUCAGAAUUAAACACAGAUUUGUUUCCCGUCCAGACAGGAACAAGGGUUUUUUUAGCAAAUACACAAUAUAUAUCAGGAUUAAAAAUGGUAUAUCAUAUAUCAAGAUUUCAUUGUUUUAGCUCUUAAACUUUAUUUAUUUAUUUUUUAUUGUUUAUCAAUACACAUGAACUGCCUAUUAAACCCGUUUUAAAAAUGGGCUAUUGGAUACAUAAUCCAAUUGAUCAAAUAAGUUUUGCAAACUGUAUCCAUAAACACCCAUAGCCAAAUUAACAAGUUGUUGGUUUAGGGUUGUAAGGUUUCAUUAAAUGAUGAAUAAAAGAUUAAAAGUUUGAUUCCUGAGAGUGAUAUUUGUUAAGAGGGACAACCAUAUAACUUGAAAUGAAUUAGGUCCUUAAUUGAUAGCAUCCAAUAUCUUUAGGAGGUCUUGGAUUUGGUCUUUCCUGCUAGCCUUUUAUUUAUACUCAGAUUAUAUAUAUAAAUAUGUGUAUAGAAAUUGACCAAAUAUGUUUAUAGAAAUUUCAUAUAAUAAGCUAGCUAAUUAUUGUUUAUAGCUAAAUUUUGUUUCAUUUUAUUUGUUGGGGCCAUAUAGUGGAUUAGAAUAUUACAUUAGUCAAUAAUCAGUUCGGAACUAUUGUUGAUAUGUUAUGGCACUUUCCAACACCAUACUAGUAUGUGAACAGAUAAUAUUAUAAGCUACAUUGUAGGUGAAAAGAUGAACUGGGUAAAAUGGUCAUGAGAGGAAGAAUAAUUAAGAAGAUUUGGGAGGUUCAUGUAAUGGUAAGGUUUUUGCUUAGUAAUAUAAAAUCACGAGUUCAAGUUUUAAUAACAGUCUCUUUGCUUGAGGAGUAAAGCUUUCUAUUCUAUCUAGAUUUCACUAACUGAGAGUCUCGUGUGCACCAGGUCGCCUUUUAUUGUUACGGGGAGCAACAUCUAAGAGGAAAGAGACAUGCAGAAGAGGUCAAGGGACUCACAGGGACACUGCUGAUAGAAUGAGGAGUAGCUUUCAAACAGUGGCGUUUAUGUAAAUAUAUGUCUUGACAAAUCUGACAUUCAACCAGCACCUCAUGCACUUGAGAAGAGGAAGUUUAAGUUAAGGCAACAGUUGAAAAUAACAAAAACCCAUAUUUGAUCAUUGAUGAUUGCAUAGAAACUCCACCCUACCCUCAUGAGUCAUGCCUUUUAUUUUCAUAAACUCUUAAUGUUUUUUUGAUAAUCAAAGUUUUUUACAUGGGAGGGAAGACUAGUCAUAAAUAUAUUUAAGGCAUAAAUCAACAAAAUAUCUGUGUAAAUAUAUACACACUUUUUUCUCCAUCAUUUUCACUAUAUUUACAUUAGCUUCAAUUUCACUGGAUUGUUCAGUAUUUGUUUGAUAACAAAUUGCUCUUGCAAUUCAGGGUAGAGAGAGCCAGUUAAGUAAGUCCUUCCCAUAUAUAGUGGCUCCUGAAAGAUAUGUAAAAGGUAUCUUAUGUACAAUAUAUACUACUAGGUUGCUGUUUAAGUGAAAAUUCACAUUUAUCCUAAAUUGUCUAUGCAAAGUGCACAUACAGCAUCUACAAAUAGGAUGGUGAAACCUCAUCAGAGAGGUCAUGUGGAGGUUGUAGGGUUUGGCAAAAUUGGAAAUAAAACAAAGGUGUUGUUGGUCUUUUAAGUUGAGCAUCCACAAUGAUUUCAGAAUCAUUGGGAAAAAAAACCAGCCUUGAAUCUAUUUCAGCAAAAUAGUAUUGUACCUCUUAAUCAUCCAUGAAAACUAAUACAUUUAACAUGACAAGAAAGUAAAUUUUGUUGUUUUAAUUUUGAGAACUUUUUUGUUUGCAAUAUUUCACUUUUCCUGUUUAGGACCUUAAUAGAUUUGAGAAGCAUAUUUGCCCAGAAAGUUUGUUCAGCAAGAACAUGAUAGUGUACUUGUCAUUUUGUUUUUAUUCACAUGCACAGAAAAUGUUGUCUAGCCAAACAAAAAAUGCAGCAAAUCUGUGGGCAUAUGAUUUCUUUCCAUUCAUUCCCUUCAAGUAUUACACAAAUUCAGCAGCUAUAUAUUGAGACAGUACUAUUUGGAAGAACUUAAUUUUCAUAAUGGUUUUAUUUGUUUUCCAUUUCUAAUAAAGCAAUCACAUUCAACAAGUUAUCUUCUCUCAAUCUCUUUAGGGUCACAAGCAUAACUCUAGACCCGUGAAUGUUGCAUGUGACCAUUAAGAGCUGUUAUAUUCAGUGCCCUUUACAACUUAUAGACCCACUCACGUGUAUCAUUUUGUCUUUUGCAUCAAAUUUUAACUCAUUAUUACAUUACUAAUUGAAAUACAAGUUUAAAUUUAAUUUGUUAAUACACAAUUUGUAAUAUGGAAAUAAGCAUGAGAGCUGAGAUGCAUAUUUCUGUAUGAUAAUGUGCAAAAAUCUCUCUUUAAAGCUUAACCCACAUUUUAUUCUAAGCAGUUUUUAAAGAACAUCAUUUGUUUCAAUUCUUAUCUACUUUUGAAACUGAUCUUGGAUCUACAUUUUCAGGACCAUGCUAUUAUAGUUUCAUUAUGUGAUGCUUAAACAUGCCAGUGGCAGGAGAAAUAUUUUAUCCCUAUUGUCACUAUAUUCACUUAUAAGUUAUAUAUAAUUGGUAUUAACCAAAUGACUAACCACACUAAGCUACAAAAUGAAAAGAUGUGGUGCUGGAACUUUCAUGGCUAACCACUUUGAUCGUCAUUACUGCGGAAAGUGUGGAACCACCUAUGUGUACCAGAAAGCUGAUGCUUGAUUAGGUUUUCAAAAUUAUGCAUUUUUAGCGUUUAAAUUUCGAAGUUAUUGUAUUUUUUGGUUUUGGAAUAUUUGGUGUUAGACAAUUUUUCAAUUAUAUUUUUGUCUGUCUGAAUAUUUCGUGUUUUAAAUGCUGGUUUUGGUGCUUUUUUUAACCUAAUUAAGUGCUGGUUUAUUUGUGAUAUGUUUAAGUUAAAUAAGUUACUUAUUUGUUAGAUAUCAGCUGGAGUUAACAUCUUUUGUUUAUGUGGAUUUGCUUUUGCGUUUUCAAUGUUUUAGGUUUUGCUAUGUUUUUUAGCAUGUGUACUUAUCAUGUUGCAUACGAUAUUAUAAGGUGUUUGAUAUGUAAGUGUAUGGGUGAGAUGUUCUACUACGAUUUAAAAUCAAUUUAGUUAUACUCUUGAGAACGUGGUGAAUUUAGUUAUACUUUUGUGUCCAUUUUGGAUAUUUGAGUUAUGAAAUUAUUUUAUAUUUAGCUUGAUUGCUUAAGAAAUGGUUUUCCCUUUAGUCCCUAAACACAGACUUGGAUGGAUUGUUGUAACCAUACAUAACCAUAUCGGUGUGUCAUGUUGGGUCAAAACUUGUUUUAAAGCUCUUUUGUUAUUGAUUGUGAUCUACAAUAGUCUUAUUUGUAAUUCACCUGAGGUAUGAUGUGAGUGUGUCAUUCAAUUAAUUAGCCUAAGUCAAAUUAAUAUGGCUCCAAAACCCCUCUUUGCAUUCACUGAUGUGCAUACAAUCUUGGGCUACAGAUUCAUAUUGAAUGUUGGCGUGAAAACUCGAUGACAUGUCCGCGUGAAUCCACUUGUUAUUGAAUAUAAUGGACAUGCAGUAAUGAAAGUUUUGAUCUGCCUUAAUGAUAAUGUGGCAUUCUGUUGAUUUUUCUAAGUAAUGCAAGGUUUAUGCCUAUAGUAAUGGAAGAUGGUACUUCUGGAAGGUUAGAUAGUUUUACGGGUGAAAGAGUUUGAGGUAUGAAGGUAGUCAAGGGAAAUUGGUGCAGCGUGGUUUGAUGGAGAUAAGGUUAUUUUGGGAAGUGCAUUAGUAAUGAGUUUUGGCAACUCAAUAUAGGGUUUGCGAGAUUUUCCACAAUUAUCUGUUUCUUUUGUUCCUUGUAUUUUACUUUACAGAUAGUUAUUCUAGAAUCAUGG
rnacentral:lncRNA from 1 species